rnacentral:rRNA from 1 species
UUUACCGUAGGUGAACAUGMGGAAGGAUCAUUG